UACGGGGGGGGCAAGCGUUGUUCGGAAUUACUGGGCGUAAAGGGCUUGUAGGUGGCCAACUAAGUCAGACGUGAAAUCCCUCGGCUUAACCGGGGAACUGCGUCUGAUACUGGAUGGCUCGAGUGUGGGAGAGGGAUGCGGAAUUCCAGGUGUAGCGGUGAAAUGCGUAGAUAUCUGGAGGAACACCGGUGGCGAAGGCGGCAUCCUGGACCAUAACUGACACUGAGGUGCGAAAGCGUGGGGAGCAAACAGG
rnacentral:rRNA from 1 species